rnacentral:rRNA from 1 species
GACGAACGCUGGCGGCGUGCCUAAUACAUGCAAGUCGAGCGGACUUACAAAGCUUGCUUUUUAAGUUAGCGGCGGACGGGUGAGUAACACGUGGGCAACCUGCCUGUAAGACUGGGAUAACUUCGGGAAACCGGAGCUAAUACCGGAUAAUCCUUUUCUACUCAUGUAGAAAAGCUGAGAGACGGUUUACGCUGUCACUUACAGAUGGGCCCGCGGCGCAUUAGCUAGUUGGUGAGGUAACGGCUCACCAAGGCGACGAUGCGUAGCCGACCUGAGAGGGUGAUCGGCCACACUGGGACUGAGACACGGCCCAGACUCCUACGGGAGGCAGCAGUAGGGAAUCUUCCGCAAAGGACGAAAGUCUGACGGAGCAACGCCGCGUGAGUGAUGAAGGUUUUCGGAUCGUAAAACUCUGUUGUUAGGGAAGAACAAGUACGAGAGUAACUGCUCGUACCUUGACGGUACCUAACCAGAAAGCCACGGCUAACUACGUG